rnacentral:rRNA from 1 species
UACGGAGGGUGCAAGCGUUAUCCGGAUUCACUGGGUUUAAAGGGUGCGUAGGUGGAGUGGUAAGUCAGUGGUGAAAUCUCCAAGCUUAACUUGGAACUGCCGUUGAUACUAUCAUUCUUGAAUAUCGUGGAGGUAAGUCGGAAUAUGUCAUGUAGCGGUGAAAUGCUUAGAUAUGACAUAGAACACCGAUUGCGAAGGCAGCUUGCUACACGAUCAUUGACACUGAGGCACGAAAGCGUGGGGGAUCAAACAGG